rnacentral:rRNA from 1 species
UACGUAGGUGGCAAGCGUUGUCCGGAUUUACUGGGCGUAAAGAGCGCGCAGGCGGUCGACUAAGUCGAGUGUGAAAGCCCCCGGCUCAACUGGGGAGGGUCACUUGAUACUGGUCGACUCGAAGGCAGGAGAGGGAAGUGGAAUUCCCGGUGUAGUGGUGAAAUGCGUAGAUAUCGGGAGGAACACCAGUGGCGAAGGCGACUUCCUGGCCUGUUCUUGACGCUGAGGCGCGAAAGCUAGGGGAGCAAACGGG